rnacentral:rRNA from 1 species
UACAGAGGGUGCAAGCGUUGUUCGGAAUUAUUGGGCGUAAAGGGCGCGUAGGCGGUUCGGCAAGUCUCUAGUGAAAUCUCAGGGCUCAACUCUGAGUCUGCUGGGGAAACUGCCGGGCUUGAGUGUGGGAGAGGAGAGUGGAAUUCCCAGUGUAGAGGUGAAAUUCGUAGAUAUUGGGAAGAACACCGGUGGCGAAGGCGGCUCACUGGGGGUCUUCUGACGCUGAGGAACGAAAGCCAGGGGAGCGAACGGG